rnacentral:tRNA from 1 species
GGCGGCGUAGCCAAGUGGAUCAAGGCGACGGAUUGCAAAUCCGUUAUUCGUGGGUUCGAAUCCCACCGCCGCCU